UACGAAGGGGGCUAGCGUUGUUCGGAAUUACUGGGCGUAAAGCGCGCGCAGGCGGUCCUUUAAGUCAGGGGUGAAAGCCCAGAGCUCAACUCUGGAACUGCCUUUGAAACUAGAGGACUUGGGUACGGGAGAGGUGAGUGGAAUUCCGAGUGUAGAGGUGAAAUUCGUAGAUAUUGGGAAGAACACCGGUGGCGAAGGCGGCUCACUGGCUCGUUUCUGACGCUCAGGCGCGACAGCGUGGGGAUCAAACAGG
rnacentral:rRNA from 1 species